rnacentral:rRNA from 1 species
GAUGAACGCUUUCUUCUUUCUUAACACAUGCAAGUCGAACGAUGAAGCCCAGCUUGCUGGGUGGAUUAGUGGCGAACGGGUGAGUAACACGUGAGUAACCUGCCCUUAACUCUGGGAUAAGCCUGGGAAACUGGGUCUAAUACCGGAUAGGAGCGUCCACCGCAUGGUGGGUGUUGGAAAGAUUUAUCGGUUUUGGAUGGACUCGCGGCCUAUCAGCUUGUUGGUGAGGUAAUGGCUCACCAAGGCGACGACGGGUAGCCGGCCUGAGAGGGUGACCGGCCACACUGGGACUGAGACACGGCCCAGACUCCUACGGGAGGCAGCAGUGGGGAAUAUUGCACAAUGGGCGCAAGCCUGAUGCAGCGACGCCGCGUGAGGGAUGACGGCCUUCGGGUUGUAAACCUCUUUCAGUAGGGAAGAAGCGAAAGUGACGGUACCUGCAGAAGAAGCACCGGCUAACUACGUG